rnacentral:rRNA from 1 species
GACGAACCGUCCAAACGUUAUUCGGAAUCACUGGGCUUACAGAGUUCGUAGGCGGUCUGGCAAGUUGGAUGUGAAAUCCCUCGGCUCAACCGAGGAACUGCGUUCAAUACUGCCAGACUCGAGGGAGAUAGAGGAAAGCGGAACUGAUGGUGGAGCGGUGAAAUGCGUUGAUAUCAUCAGGAACACCGGUGGCGAAGGCGGCUUUCUGGGUCUCUCCUGACGCUGAGGAACGAAAGCUAGGGUAGCGAACGGG